AUUACCUACGGGACGCAGCAGUGGGGAAUAUUGCACAAUGGGGGAAACCCUGAUGCAGCGACGCCGCGUGAGUGAAGAAGUAUUUCGGUACGUAAAGCUCUAUCAGCAGGGAAGAAAAAAAGUCCUUUGGACUUUGGACGGUACCUGACCAAGAAGCCCCGGCUAACUACGUGCCAGCAGCCGCGGUAAUACGUAGGGGGCAAGCGUUAUCCGGAUUUACUGGGUGUAAAGGGAGCGUAGACGGCAGCGCAAGUCUGGCGUGAAAUGCCGGGGCCCAACCCCGGAACUGCUUUGGACACUUUGCC
rnacentral:rRNA from 1 species